CAACUAUGGAAAGCAAAGAAAAGUCAUUCAAUGAAUUUAAUGAUUCUGACACGAGAGACUUCGAUGAAUUAUACACUUGUAAAAAUUAAUAAAAAUACUUUUUUUAGAAGCCCCGUUAGCAUUAAAAAGUUCAGACGAUCAAAAUCUGGUAGAUCAUCAAAAAAAGGAAAGAUCCAAAAUAGAGUAACAAAGUUAUAAAGAUCUGUAUAAUCAAAUUACACUAUCCGGAAAAUAUGGCCCAAACUCCGUUUUCCAAUGUCAAUAAGAGUAUUACUGAAGAAUAUUAUUUUUCUAUGAACCCUGGCCCAAUAAUCCAAGGUUUGUCUACUCCACGUCAAGAACAUUUUCAAGAAUCUUCAAAGGAAAAAGAGAAUUUCCUUAUGACCUCUUAUAGACAACCAGAAACGCAGUUUAAUAACUUAUGUGAAAAUUCCGAUGCAGAAAAUCGAUUCACAAGUCACAAUUUUAAAUUACCUUUGCGCAAAAGAAAAUAAUUUUCUAUUGAAUAAAAAACUUUCUUUCUAAUAUUUAUGAGCGAAUACCAUGUGCAAGUUAUUAUUGUUCAUUAAAUAGUGUGAUGACCAGUCUUUCUUCUGCUUCUAUUCGGGCCGGA